AGUCUCCAGCCAUGUGUGGAAACGCCACGCAUGACCUCUGGGUCAUGUUCUGUGGUCACUUAUUCUCCUUCUGGAGGGAGCUGUUAGGAAAUCGAACCCCAGGAAGGUUUGGAAAGAGCCUGGCCCUGGGACCCAUGGGUGAGGAAAGUCCUGAUGCUGGGCUGAUGAGCCUGCCACUCCCUUAGCUCACCUCUGCCUGCAUCUCUUUCCCACUGAUGGUCUUCCUCUGGGGCAGCUGAAACCCUGCGUCCUGUCCCUGAGCUGCCUGGAGAGGAUGGCUGACGCCACAUCAGUUACCUUCCAUUGCUGCAAGAAGAUGCCCGAGGAAGCUGACAAGGAAGUCCAGGUCUCUCUCCAUCAGAGCCGAUGAGAAGUUCAGACCUCACACACCGCUGUUCAUGUGCUAGGACCAUCUUCUACCCAUGGCGCUCCUGGCUACCUCUGGAAUGAUUGAUCUUGUCCCCAGUCACCUGCCACACUUCCAGACACCGCUUGGCAUCACCGAGAAUGAGCUAAGAUGCUCAGAAGAAUGUCAUUUUGCUCUGGGCAAAGCAUCCUUGGUGAGGAGAAAGAGCUGGCAGAGGUGCUGCCCAGCCUGCACAAGGCCAACGGCCUACAACAAGCAUCAUAGGUGAGUUCCAGCCCCAGAGCUCUCCUCUUGUCCUCAGCCUUUAAAAUGAUGCCUUGGCUUAUUCUGGCAAUUGUCAGUGCAGCCAAGAACAGCGACAGAGAGGUGUCCUCUUUCCUGAGGGUCUCUGUUUUCUUGUGCACUGCCUCUGUGGCCUCUGAUUCCAAUUUCCUCAGAGAGUGCCCUUGGCUCUCUGACACUUCUUUCCUCAGUGGGACAGCUCAUUGCCUUCCAAUCUCAUGCUUGUCAAGCCAUGCAUCCGUAUCCCCAGGGCUUUGAAUAAACCACCUAUCCCGGGAAACUAGGCGAACUUCACAGCUAAGGAUAUUAGGAGAUCGCUAAAGAAACACUUGCCUUCCAUAAACUGUCAGGCACCUAGAUAUGUGACACCUUAGCAGCCGGGACAUUUGGGUGCAAACAGGCAACAAGGAAAUGGAUUGUGGGUAAGGCUAUAGAUUCAUAUUGUUUGGGCAAUUUAUGUUUUCAGGUUGUACUGGCUGGCUUUGUGUGUCAACUUGACACAAAUUGGAGUUAUCACAGAGAAAGGAGCCUCCCUUCAGGAAGCGCCUCUGUGAGAUCCAGAUUUAAGGCAUUUUCUCAGUUAGUAAUCAAGGGUGGGAGGGCUCAUUGUGAGUGGUGCCAUCCCUGGGCUGGUUGUCUUGGGUUCUAUAAGAAAGCAAGCUGAGCAAGCCAGGGGAAGCAAGCCAGUAAGCAGUACCCCUCCAUGGCCUCUGCAUCAGCUCCUGCCUCCAAGUUUCUACCCUGUGUGAGUUUCUGUCCUGACCUCCUUUGGUGAUGAACAGCAAUGUGGAAUUGUAAGCUGAAUAAACCCUUUCUUCCACAACUUGCUUCUUGGUCAUGAUGUUUUGUGCAUGAAUAGAAAUUCUGACUAAGACACAGGUAGAUUUAGACAAGUAUCUAUUCAUCAUCUAUUUAUCCCAAAAUGAGAGAAACAUCUUACCCAUGUCUAGCAAUAUGUAAUUUUAUUGUGGUUAGUUACUACAGGAGCAUGGGUGGCCCAAAGGAAGUUAUGUCAUCAAAAGCAUAGAUGAUGACUCUCAAAAGCUGUAUCUCUCAGGAGCUCCCUGUCCAACUUCCAGGCGGCUCCAGUAUGAAUCUUCUCUCUUCAGCAACUGUUUAUAUAUAUAUAUAUAUACAUAUAUAUAUCCUUUGGAAGGGGGUCCUGUGAAUCUGGAACUUGAUGAGCUUUUAGAUCAUCUUAAGUUUCAGGAACUUCCUGGAUGUUGUGUAUUUCCUGGGUCUUAGGAAUCUUUUUCCUCCCUAGGAAGGAAGGUUCCCAUUCUUAGGAAACAGCUACACAACAGUAGCUAAGGCCACCCUUCCCUUGUACAUUUCCAUGCAGCCAUUUUACUAGAAGUUGGGGUAAAGCAGGUUGUGGGCCACUACAAGUGUUAGCUACCACCCUGUGGGCUUGUUUGUGAGUGGUAUACCACUUCAGUGAUUUCUACUUGAAAAUUAAAAUAAGGAAUUAUUGAGAACUGUGUACAUAGACAAUCAGAAAUAUCAAAGUGUGGAAAAGUUCAUUCAAAUCAAAUAUUUACAGACAGUUAACAUUGAGAUGACGUUCAGACUUUCAAGAAAAAAAUGGAAGGACUUUGAAAUGGGCAGCUAGGUGACUGGAUGCCCUACCCAGGGAGCCUGUGUGCAGGGGGUAAGUGGGGACCCUGCCCAGGUUGCCUGUGUGCAGGGAUCUGCUCUUCUUGCCUUAACACUCC
rnacentral:lncRNA from 1 species